rnacentral:rRNA from 1 species
ACUCAAAGGAAUAGACGGGGGCCCGCACAAGCGGUGGAGCAUGUGGAUUAAUUCGAUGCAACGCGAAGAACCUUACCCAGGCUCGAACGCUGCCGGACAGUCCCUGAAAGGGGAUCUUCUUCGGACCGGUAGCGAGGUGCUGCAUGGCUGUCGUCAGUUCGUGUCGUGAGAUGUUGGGUUAAGUCCCGCAACGAACGCAACCCCUAUCGCUAGUUACCAGCGGGUAAUGCCGGGGACUCUAACGAGACUGCCUGCGCAAGCAGUGAGGAAGGUGGGGAUGACGUCAAGUCAUCAUGGCCCUUACGCCUGGGGCCUCACACGUGCUACAAUGGACGGUACAGUGGGCAGCCACCCCGCGAGGGGGAGCGAAUCCUCAAAGCCGUUCUCAGUUCGGAUCGGAGUCUGCAACUCGACUCCGUGAAGCCGGAAUCGCUAGUAAUCGCGUAUCAGCCAUGACGCGGUGAAUACGUUCCCGGGCCUUGUACACACCGCCCGU